UCCCUGACAGUCCAGUGGUUAAGACUUGGCACUUUCAUUGCCACGGCCCAAGUUCAAUCCCUGGUCAGGGAA